UAGCAAGUCCAUGGACAGACCAGCCCUGUCUGGAAGACUAGUGAUUUUGUUGUUGUGUCUGUGUCCAACAACAAGUCCCAGUCUGCCACAUGGUGUUGGUCACAUCAGCAACUGCAGGGA
rnacentral:pre_miRNA from 14 species